rnacentral:rRNA from 1 species
UUACGGGAGGCAGCAGUAGGGAAUAUUGGGCAAUGGGCGCAAGCCUGACCCAGCCAUGCCGCGUGCAGGAAGAAUGCCCUCUGGGUUGUAAACUGCUUUUGGGAGGGGACAAAAAGCUGAUGCGUCAGAAAUUGAGUGUACCUCCAGAAUAAGCACCGGCUAACUCCGUGCCAGCAGCCGCGGUAAUACGGAGGGUGCAAGCGUUGUCCGGAUUUAUUGGGUUUAAAGGGUGCGUAGGCGGCCCGAUAAGUCGGGGGUGAGACCCACAGGCUAAACCUGUGGAGUGCCCUCGAUACUGUCGGGCUUGGGUUAUCUCUAGGCGGGCGGAAUGGAAGGUGUAGCGGUGAAAUGCAUAGAUAUCUACCAGAACGCCGAUAGAGAAGGCAGCUCGCUGGGGAUAUACCGACGCUGAGGCACGAUAGCGUGGGGAUCAAACAGGAUUAGAUACCCGCGUA